rnacentral:rRNA from 1 species
GAUGAACGCUGGCGGCGUGCCUAAUACAUGCAAGUCGAGCGAACAGACGAGGAGCUUGCUCCUCUGACGUUAGCGGCGGACGGGUGAGUAACACGUGGAUAACCUACCUAUAAGACUGGGAUAACUUCGGGAAACCGGAGCUAAUACCGGAUAAUAUAUUGAACCGCAUGGUUCAAUAGUGAAAGACGGUUUUGCUGUCACUUAUAGAUGGAUCCGCGCCGCAUUAGCUAGUUGGUAAGGUAACGGCUUACCAAGGCAACGAUGCGUAGCCGACCUGAGAGGGGGAUCGGCCACACUGGAACUGAGACACGGUCCAGACACCUACGGGAGGCAGCAGUAGGGAAUCUUCCGCAAAGGGCGAAAGCCUGACGGAGCAACGCCGCGUGAGUGAUGAAGGGCUGCGGAUCGUAAAACUCUGUUAUUAGGGAAGAACAAAUGUGUAAGUAACUAUGCACGUCUGGACGGUACCUAAUCAGAAAGCCACGGCUAACUACGU